CUUGAGCGUGGAGGGUAGAUGCUUCAGGUGACCUUUUACGAGCGUGGCGUGUCCUGGAUGGCGGCCGCACACUUAGGAAGAACGGGCUUUGGGAGAGGACCGCUGGCCCGAGAGUGGAACCUUGCACGCACUGGGCGUUGAAGCAGUGCUUUCUGGAUUAAAUACGAAAUACUGAUGUCACAAGCUA
ensembl:lncRNA DHX35-DT DHX35 divergent transcript